rnacentral:rRNA from 1 species
GUGCCAGCCGCCGCGGUAAUACGUAGGGUGCGAGCGUUAAUCGGAAUUACUGGGCGUAAAGGGUGCGCAGGCGGCGCCAUAAGACAGAUGUGAAAUCCCCGGGCUUAACCUGGGAACUGCGUUUGUGACUGUGGUGCUUGAGUGCGGCAGAGGGGGGUGGAAUUCCACGUGUAGCAGUGAAAUGCGUAGAGAUGUGGAGGAACACCGAUGGCGAAGGCAGCCCCCUGGGUCGACACUGACGCUCAUGCACGAAAGCGUGGGGAGCAAACAGGAUUAGAAACCCUGGUAGUCC